GUCAACGUUGAUGGCACUCAGAGGACUGUGCAGUGUCUUUCUCGGGACGCAGGUGGAAACAUGAGCAUCCAGUUUCUUGGCACAGUGGUGAGUACCAAAAAGUACUGUUCGUCCUCUUGCUCAGAUAGUGUGCUUGGCUUUCUCCCAUGUUUCUGCUGCCUUUGUUGUGGUUUUAUUUUGCUAUCAAAUUGAGACAUCUCUGUAUGAGAAGCAGGACACGUGAGAAAAGCUUCUGUCCUGAAAAUAUUCCUGUUGCAUCUUCUCAGAGAGGAAAUGCUUCUCUAGUUUCAGUUCGUUGAAUAGUUGUAGUUUCUCUCUAAUGGCUUGAUUUUUUUUCCUCUGUAUUCUUAAAAAUAAGACGUAUGAUAUAAAAACAAUACAUUUGACUUUCCCCCCUCAGUUUGCUUUCUGGCUUUCUCUGUUGAGUUCCUCACAUCCACCUUUCUCAUGACAUCGGAUCAUAGUUUUAUAUCUUCAUUAUUCACAUAUGAGUCAUGUUAUUUUAUAUAUUGGUAU
rnacentral:lncRNA from 1 species